ACUUGAUGAUGAAUGUAAAAAGACAAGCAUAUGGCUGAACUGUGGUGAUGCCAUCUUACUACUGAACCGU